GAUGAAGAACGCAGCGAAAUGCGAUAAGUAAUGUGAAUUGCAGAAUUCAGUGAAUCAUCGAAUCUUUGAACGCACAGUGCGCCCUCCGGCAUUCCGGGGGGCAUGCCUGUCCGAGCGUCACGAAAACCCCAUCACACUCGUUGUGGUCAUGGCUGCAGUGAGUCGUCUCCAGCGGAGAGGGUCACGCCGCUGAAAGGAAUGGUGCGGAUGAGUUCCGAUGGCCGAACGUAGUACUUGACAACCGUCGGCCGAUGGGACCCUCCAUCUCGCCCUGACGACGUACCCCCGUCGUACCCCCGAUCAGGUGGACCUCGGAUCAGGUAGGGAUACCCGCUGAACUUAAGCAUAUCAAUAAGCGGAGGA
rnacentral:misc_RNA from 1 species